GACGAACGCUGGCGGCGUGCCUAAUACAUGCAAGUAGAACGCAGUUGCGAACGGGUGAGUAACGCGUAGGUAACUGCCUCAUAGCGGGGGAUAACUAUUGGAAACGAUAGCUAAUACCCCAUACUGUGAGAUUGACCUGCGUUGUAUUAGCUAGUUGGUGAGGUAAAGGCUCACCAAGGCGACGGUACAUAGCCGACCUGAGAGGGGGAUCGGCCCCACUGAGACUGAGACACGGCCCAGACUCCUACGGGAGGCAGCAGUAGGGAAACUUCGGCAAUGGACGGAAGUCUGACCGAGCAACGCCGAAGUAGUGAAGAAGGUUUUCGGAUCGUAAAGCUCUGUUGGUAGAGAAGCGGUAACUAAAGAGAAAGGGACGGCUAACUACGUGCCAGCAGGAGCGGUAAUUG
rnacentral:rRNA from 1 species